UAGCUACUGAAUCAUUAUGAGUCAUUAAUUUGGUGAUUAUGAUAACAUAAGGGAAAAAAAAUGAUAUUACCUUAUUAUUAGUGUUGUCCAAAACUGGUGCCAGAAGACUCGGUAAGACCAGAGACGCAAACGUUAGUCAUCUUAAUCAGGCGUAAAGGGUGUGUAGGCUGCUUUAAAAGUUUAAAUCUUUUUAAUAGCUCUUUUGCCGUUGUCCUGCCAUUAUUUAUUUUAUUUAUAAAUAAUAAACAAUAAUGAAUAUAAAGGCAGUACAUUUUUUAAUUUUAUUAAUUUAAUUUAAUAAUUAUAAAGGGGACAAAAAAGAUAUCCCGGUUUAAGUAAAAAGAAUAAAAUGAAUUAAAGCUAGAAUCAAAUUGAGGAUAAACCAAAUAAUACUUAGAGUAGGGCCGAUAUCCGCAGAUACUAAGGGGAAUACUAAAGGUGAAAGCUUUUUAUCUACUAUUGAUUGACGCUGAGAAACGAAGGUGAGAACAGGAAAUAGGAUUUGAUACCCAGAUACCUCUCACUGUCAACGAUGAAUGGUGGUUGUUAGUUUUAAUAAAAACUGGUAACGAUGUUAACACGAUAACCAUUCCGCCUUGCGAGUACGGUUGCAAAACUGAAACCAAAAAAAUUAGUCGGUU
rnacentral:rRNA from 1 species